rnacentral:rRNA from 1 species
AGAGUUUGAUCCUGGCUCAGAUUGAACGCUGGCGGCAGGCUUAACACAUGCAAGUCGAACGGUAGCAGGAAGAAAGCUUGCUUUCUUUGCUGACGAGUGGCGGACGGGUGAGUAAUGCUUGGGAAUCUGGCUUAUGGAGGGGGAUAACUGUGGGAAACUGCAGCUAAUACCGCGUAUUCUCUGAGGAGGAAAGGGUGGGACCUUAGGGCCACCUGCCAUAAGAUGAGCCCAAGUGGGAUUAGGUAGUUGGUGGGGUAAAGGCCUACCAAGCCUGCGAUCUCUAGCUGGUCUGAGAGGAUGACCAGCCACACUGGAACUGAGACACGGUCCAGACUCCUACGGGAGGCAGCAGUGGGGAAUAUUGCGCAAUGGGGGGAACCCUGACGCAGCCAUGCCGCGUGAAUGAAGAAGGCCUUCGGGUUGUAAAGUUCUUUCGGUAAUGAGGAAGGGAUGUUGUUAAAUAGAUAGCAUCAUUGACGUUAAUUACAGAAGAAGCACCGGCUAACUCCGUGCCAGCAGCCGCGGUAAUACGGAGGGUGCGAGCGUUAAUCGGAAUAACUGGGCGUAAAGGGCACGCAGGCGGACUUUUAAGUGAGAUGUGAAAUCCCCGAGCUUAACUUGGGAACUGCAUUUCAGACUGGGAGUCUAGAGUACUUUAGGGAGGGGUAGAACUCCACGUGUAGCGGUGAAAUGCGUAGAGACGUGGAGGAAUACCGAAGGCGAAGGCAGCCCCUUGGGAAUGUACUGACGCUCAUGUGCGAAAGCGUGGGGAGCAAACAGGAUUAGAUACCCUGGUAGUCCACGCUGUAAACGCUGUCGAUUUGGGGAUUGGGCUAUAUGCUUGGUGCCCGAAGCUAACGUGAUAAAUCGACCGCCUGGGGGAGUACGGCCGCAAGGUUAAAACUCAAAGGAAUUGACGG